GGGUAUGGCGGCCAGCCUGUGGAUGGGCGACCUGGAACCCUACAUGGAUGAGAACUUCAUCUCCAGAGCCUUUGCCACCAUGGGGGAGACCGUAAUGAGCGUCAAAAUUAUCCGAAACCGCCUCACUGGGAUCCCAGCUGGCUACUGCUUUGUAGAAUUUGCAGAUUUGGCCACAGCUGAGAAGUGUUUGCAUAAAAUUAAUGGGAAACCCCUUCCAGGAGCCACACCUGCCCAGGAAACUGAAGCUCAGGGAAUUGAAAUAACUUGCCCAAGGCAACACAGGUAGUAAAUGGCAGAGCCAGGAUUCAGACUGAAGAUUGGUUGCCUCCCAAAUCCAUGCCUUUCCAUUCUGCAUUGCUGCCUCCCAUAACCGAAGACUUGAAACUCUAGACCUCUUGCCUGAUUGGGAAACUAGAAUAGGCUGGCAGCAGCAAGGACACAUUUCAAGAGAGUUGCAUUCUGCUCUUCCCACAGUUACUUAGCUUACAGCUGCACCAGCUGGCACACCUGGGCUCAUAGAACCAUGGAGCUGGCAGUGCCCUUAGCGGUCAUCCGUGCAACCCCCUCAUUUUAUACAGGAGAAAAAGCUGAGGCUUAGAGAGGGGGAGA
rnacentral:sRNA from 1 species